rnacentral:rRNA from 1 species
GACGAACGCUGGCGGCGUGCUUAACACAUGCAAGUCGAACGGUAAGGCCCUUCGGGGUACUCGAGCGGCGAACGGGUGAGUAACACGUGAGUAACCUGCCCCUGGCUUUGGGAUAACCAUCGGAAACGGUGGCUAAUACCGAAUAUUCAUCGUGGCUGGCAUCGGUUGUGGUGGAAAGUUUUUCGGCUGGGGAUGGGUUCGCGGCCUAUCAGCUUGUUGGUGGGGUAAUGGCCUACCAAGGCUUCGACGGGUAGCCGGCCUGAGAGGGCGACCGGCCACACUGGGACUGAGACACGGCCCAGACUCCUACGGGAGGCAGCAGUGGGGAAUAUUGCACAAUGGGCGGAAGCCUGAUGCAGCGACGCCGCGUGAGGGAUGACGGCCUUCGGGUUGUAAACCUCUUUCGACAGGGACGAAGCGCAAGUGACGGUACCUGGAGAAGAAGCACCGGCCAACUACGUGCCAGCAGCCGCCGUAAAAC